rnacentral:rRNA from 1 species
GAUGAACGCUGGCGGCGUGCCUAAUACAUGCAAGUCGAGCGAACAGACGAGGAGCUUGCUCCUCUGACGUUAGCGGCGGACGGGUGAGUAACACGUGUAUAACCUACCUAUAAGACUGGGAUAACUUCGGGAAACCGGAGCUAAUCCCGGAUAAUAUAUUGAACCGCAUGGUUCAAUAGUGAAAGACGGUUUUGCUGUCACUUAUAGCUGGAUCCGCGCCGCAUUAGCUAGUUGGUAAGGUAACGGCUUACCAAGGCAACGAUGCGUAGCCGACCUGAGAGGGUGGUCGGCCACACUGGAGCGGAGACACGGACCAGAGUCCUACGGGAGGCAGCAGUAGGGAAUCUUCCGCAAUGGGCGAGAGCCUGACGGAGCAACGCGGCGUGAGUGAUGAAGGUCUUCGGAGCGUAAAACUCUGUUAUGAGGGAAGAACAAAUGUGUAAGUAACUAUGCACGUCUUGACGGUACCUAAUCAGAAAGCCACGGCUAACUACGUG